rnacentral:rRNA from 1 species
AGCGGAGGAGGGGGAUCGCCCGCCGCAUGGGAGGCGGGACAGGGUCCCGGCGCCUACGGGAGGCAGCAGUGGGGAAUAUUGCGCAAUGGGGGAAACCCUGACGCAGCAACGCCGCGUGAAUGAUGAAGGCCUUCGGGUUGUAAAGUUCUGUCUUCUGGGCACGAUAAUGACGGUACCAGAGGGGAAACCAGAGCUAACUA